CGAGCAGUAGCUCAGUGGUAGAGCUCCCGCUUCGUAUGCCGGAAGACCUGGGUUCGACUUCGGGUGCUUGC
rnacentral:tRNA from 1 species